AUUGAACGCUGGCGGCAGGCCUAACACAUGCAAGUCGAGCGAGCGGCGGACGGGUGAGUAAUGUCUGGGAAACUGCCUGAUGGAGGGGGAUAACUACUGGAAACGGUAGCUAAUACCGCAUACCAUCAGAUGUGCCCAGAUGGGAUUAGCUAGUAGGUGGGGUAACGGCUCACCUAGGCGACGAUCCCUAGCUGGUCUCAGAGGAUGACCAGCCACACUCGAACUGAGACACGUUCCAGAUUCCUCCGUGAUGCAGCAGGGGGAAAUAUUGCACAACGGGCGCAAUCCUGCUGCAGCCAUGCCGCGUGUGUGAAGAAGGCCUUCGGGUUGUAAGGCACUUUCAGCGGGGAGGCGUUACCCGCAGAAGAAGCACCGGCUAACUCCGGGCCAGCCGCCGCGGUAAUAC
rnacentral:rRNA from 1 species